rnacentral:lncRNA from 10 species
GGGUGCUCGGUUUCCUCUAGGGAGGGAAGGCGAGAGGGGGCGGUGGCAGCGACAACAAUGCAGCUAGGUGCCGUGGCUUCCUGCGCGCGGCGGCCGCCAGGCGCCCCCCCCAUCCUGCCUCCCCACCCAUGGGAAACCUUGGAUCUGCACCAGUUGGGACCUCUUCUCCAAAGCGCUCCUUGGCUUUGGAGCUAAGUGGCUUCGUGCCCGUAGAAGUGGAUUUCAAACUUCAAUAAUCAAGUAUUUUAGUGCAAUUUAUUUUUUAUUUUUAUUUUUGUAGAGACGAGGAUCUCAUUAUGUUAUCCAGGGUGGUCUCGAAUGUCUGGGCUUAAAUGAUCCUUCUGUCUGGGCCUCCCACAGUGCUGGGAUUACAGGCGCGAGUCACCACACCUGGCUAGUCCAACACUUUAAACAUAAAAAAAUCAGUGCAAAAGAGUCCAUGAUGGAUGAAAUACCAAAUUGUUAUUUAUUUAUUUAUUUUCGAGACGGAGUUUUACUCUUGUUGCCCAGGCUGGAGUGCAAUGGCGCGAUCUCAGCUCACUGCAACCUCCAUCUCCCGGGUUCAAGGGAUUCUCCUGCCUCAGCCUCCCAAGUAGGUGGGAUUACAGGCGACUGCCACCACGCCCAGCUAAUUUUUUUUUUGGCCAGGCUUUUCUGCAACCCCUGACCUCAAGUGAUCUGCCCGCUUCAACCUCCCAAAGUACUAG